GUCAGGAAUCUUGGAGUUAUCUUUGAUCAGGAUUUGUCAUUUAACUCCCACAUAAAGAAAACCUCUAGGACUGCCUUCUUUCAUUUACGUAAUAUUACAAAAAAUAGACACAUACUAUCACAGACAGAUGCAGAAAAACUAAUCCAUGCAUUUGUUACUUCAAGGCUGGAUUACUGCAACCCUUUAUUAUCAGGUUGCCCCAAUAAGUCCAUUAAAACGCUCCAAUUAAUUCAGAACGCUGCAGCACGAGUACUGACAGGAACUAGAAAAAGAGAUCACAUCUCUCCUGUACUAGCUUCUCUGCAUUGGCUCCCUGUAAAAUGUAGAAUAGAAUUUAAAAUCCUCCUCCUCACCUAUAAAGCUCUUCAUGGUCAGGCCCCUUCAUAUCUUAAAGAGCUCAUAGUACCAUAUUACCCCACUAGAACACUACGUUCUCUGAAUGCUGGGCUACUUGUGGUUCCUAUAGUCUCUAAAAGUAGAACAGGAGCCAGAGCCUUCAGUUACCAAGCUCCUCUCCUGUGGAACCAGCUUCCAGUUGCGGUUCGGGAGGCAGACACCCUCACCAUAUUCAAGAGUAGGCUUAAGACAUUCCUCUUUGAUAAAGCUUAUAGUUAGGGCUGGAUCAGAUGAGUCCUGAACCAUCCCUUAGUUAUGCUGCUAUAGGCCUAGACUAUCGGGGGAUUUCCCAUGGUGCACUGAGCUCCUCCCUUCCUCUCUCUUUCUGCACUCAUUCAUGUUCCAUUAAUGCAUGUUACUAACUUCACUUCUUCCCCAGAGUUCUUGUGCUUUCUCGUCUCGCAGGUUCUUAUCGAUCCUGGUGGAGCCUCCUGCCAUGGUCCUGCUAGAUUGCCAUUGCCAAUACUGUUGUUGCUGUGCACCUGUCUGUCUGUCUGUCUGUCUGUCUCUCUGUGUCUCUCUCUCU